AAUCUUCCACAAUGGACGGAAGUCUGAUGGAGCAACGCCGCGUGAGCGAAGAAGGGUUUCGGAUCGUAAAGCUCUGUUGUAAGGGGAGAACACGUACGGGAGUCAGUGCUCGUACCGGGACGGUACCUUAUCAGAAAGCCCCGGGUAACAACGUGCCGGCAGCCGCGGUAAUACGUAGGUGGCAAGCGUUGUCCUGACUUAUUGGGCGUAAAGCGCGCGCAGGCGGUCCUUUAAGUCUGAUGUGAAAGCCCACGGCUCAACCGUGGAGGGUCAUUGGAAACUGGAGGACUUGAGUACAGAAGAGGAAAGCGGAAUUCCACGUGUAGCGGUGAAAUGCGUAGAGAUGUGGAGGAACACCAGUGGCGAAGGCGGCUUUCUGGUCUGUAACUGACGCUGAGGCGCGAAAGCGUGGGGAGCAAACA
rnacentral:rRNA from 1 species